UUAUUUUGCAACCCCGAUUUAUGUGCAUAUUAUAAUAACGUGUCAAUUAAAACGUUAGACACACAAAACUGUUUUAAAAAUUGUUCGUUUAAUGAUCGAAAACUGCGGGUAAAAGCGUAUCCGCGAUGUUUCGUUAAAACAAAAGCCAAAGUUCCGAGAGCGACGCAAGAAUAUAAUAUUAAGAGGUACACAGACACAAAUUUACUAUAAACCCUUAGAAAUAAUCACCGCUGUCUCAUAGUUCGUAUAUCGCAGCGAGUCAUUGUGUUUG